rnacentral:lncRNA from 1 species
UCGAACAUCUCUUUGAUGGGUAUGUUUACUUUAAACCUUUCUAAAGGGAAAAUGAUUGGUAGACACACUUGUUUUGUACACCCUUUGGUACCACUACACAUGUGGCAUUUUAAUUAAAAAAAAAAUUCACUCUCUCUCCUCAAAUCCUCAUCCCACUCCUCUCUUUCUCACUCUGUGUACAAAACAAAAGAAACUCAACCCUUUCUCUCUCCAACUCUCUAUGCUCUCCAUCCAUUCCUCCCCCUUCGCCUCGUCUCCGCCGCCGGACUCUCUCUCUACCCCUUUCUUCUCCGGCCAUCCAUGGUGAUCAGAUCGGUGGUUGGUGGUUGUUUGAUCAAUGACAGUGGUGGUGGUGAGAUCUGUAUGUGAGGAAGUCGACGGUGGUAAUGAGAUCUAAGGAUAUGAACGACGGCGAUGGUGGACGUACGGGGGUCAAAGGCAGACUUAAGUUGUUAGAUCUGACGAUGACGUGGUGCCGGUGAAGUUUGAGGGUGAUGACGGCGACGGUGGUGGGGAGAUUUGAGGUUGAAAACGGCUGGGGACGGUGGCCGGUGGUGGUUCCGGUGAGGGAGAAGAAAGAAGGGUCUGAAGAAGAAAGAAUGUGUUGACAAAAUUGUUUGGCCUUUGGACAAAAUUAUCCCUUCUUUUUUGUUAAAUGACAAAAUUGCCCCUGCCAUAUGGGGUGUAUAAGGAUGGUAUGCCACAUGGAGUGGUCUAUCUAUCACCACUC